CCAACCAUGUGUAUUGCGCCUCGCUCUUAUUCGUUUUCCACUCGGGUGAUACUUCGAGCACUUGUUGCAGCGAUAAACGUUGAAUUAGGGGAGACUCUGCAUACCCAUGCACUUUGUGUAAGGAAACAAUUAAGAUAAUGAGAUAUAGAGAUUUUGGCUGCAAGCAA